UUAGUGGCGGACGGGUGAGUAACGCGUGGAAAACCUGCCGUAUACUGGGGGAUAACACUUAGAAAUAGGUGCUAAUACCGCAUAAGCGCACAGCCUCGCAUGAAGCGGUGUGAAAAACUCUGGUGGUAUACGAUGGUUCCGCGUCUGAUUAGCUAGUUGGUGGGGUAAUGGCCUACCAAGGCAACGAUCAGUAGCCGGCCUGAGAGGGUGAACGGCCACAUUGGGACUGAGACACGGCCCAAACUCCUACGGAAGGCAGCAG
rnacentral:rRNA from 1 species